rnacentral:rRNA from 1 species
GAUGAACGCUGGCGGCGUGCCUAACACAUGCAAGUCGAGCGAAUAGACCAGGAGCUUGCUCCUCUGACGUUAGCGGCGGACGGGUGAGUAACAUGUGGACAACACACCUAUAAGACUGGGAUGAUUUCGGGAAACCGGAGCUAAUACCGGAUGAUAUAUUGAACUGCAUGGUGCAAGAGUGAAAGACGGUUUUUCUGUCACUUACAGAUGAAUCAGCGCCGCAUUAGUUAGUUGGUAAGGUAACGGCUUAGCAAGGCGACGAUGGGAACCCGACCCGAGGGGGACGACGGCUAGCCGGGCAGUGAGACACAGCACACACACCUGCGGUAGGCAGCAGUAGAGACUCUUACGCGAUGCAGGAGUGCGUGACGGAGCAACACGGCGUGAGUGAUGAAGGUCCUAGGCUGGUUAAACUAUGUUAGUAGGAGGGAAGAAAUGUGUAAGUAGCUAUGCACAUAUUGACGGUACCUAAACAGAAAGCCACGGCUAACUACGUG